rnacentral:tRNA from 1 species
AGGGGUUUAGCUCAGCGGUAGAGCGUAUGCUUAACAUGUAUGAGGUCCCAGGUUCAAUCCCCAGUACCUCCA